rnacentral:tRNA from 1 species
GCCGCAGUGGCCUAGCCUGGCAGGGCGCGAGACUCAUAAUCUCGAAGUCGCGGGCUCGAAUCGUCAUCACAUUUCGUGAUGGUGAAAGCAUCCCGUCUGCGGCACCA